rnacentral:tRNA from 1 species
GCCCCGGUGGCGGAAUGGCAUACGCAGCAGGUUGAGGGCCUGUGCCUUCGGGCGUGGAGGUUCGAGUCCUCUCCGGGGCA